GACGAACGCUGGCGGCGUGCUUAACACAUGCAAGUCGAACGGAAAGGCCCUGCUUUUGUGGGGUGCUCGAGUGGCGAACGGGUGAGUAACACGUGAGUAACCUGCCCUUGACUUUGGGAUAACUUCAGGAAACUGGGGCGAAUACCGGAUAGGAGCUCCUGCUGCAUGGUGGUGGUUGGAAAGUUUCGGCGGUUGGGGAUGGACUCGCGGCUUAUCAGCUUGUUGGUGGGGUAGUGGCUUACCAAGGCUUUGACGGGUAGCCGGCCUGAGAGGGUGACCGGCCACAUUGGGACUGAGAUACGGCCCAGACUCCUACGGGAGGCAGCAGUGGGGAAUAUUGCACAAUGGGCGGACGCCUGAUGCAGCAACGCCGCGUGCGGGAUGACGGCCUACGGGGUGUAAACCGCUUUCGCCUGUGACGAAGCGUGAGUGACGGUAAUGGGUAAAGAAGCACCGGCUAACUACGUG
rnacentral:rRNA from 1 species